rnacentral:rRNA from 1 species
GAUGAACGCUGGCGGCGUGCCUAAUACAUGCAAGUCGAGCGAACAGAGGAGGAGCUUGUUCCAAUGACGUUAGCGGCGGACGGGUGAGUAACACGUGGAUAACCUACCUUUAAGACGGGGAUAACUUCGGGAAACGGGAGCUAAUACCGGAUAAAAAAUUUAAACGCAUGGUUUAAUAUUGAAAGAUGGUAUUGCAUCAAUUAAUAAUUAGCUCCGCGCCGCAUUAGCUAGUUGGUAAGGUAACGGCUUACCAAGGCAACGAUGCGUAGCCGACCUGAGAGGGUGAUCGGCCACACUGGAACUGAGACACGGUCCAGACUCCUACGGGAGGCAGCAGUAGGGAAUCUUCCGCAAUGGGCGAAAGCCUGACGGAGCAACGCCGCGUGAGUGAUGAAGGUCUUCGGAUCGUAAAACUCUGUUAUUAGGGAAGAACAAAUGUGUAAGUAACUAUGCACGUCUUGACGGUACCUAAUCAGAAAGCCACGGCUAACUACGUG